GUGGGGAAUAUUGGACAAUGGGCGAAAGCCUGAUCCAGCCAUGCCGCGUGUGUGAAGAAGGUCUUCGGAUUGUAAAGCACUUUAAGUUGGGAGGAAGGGCAUUAACCUAAUACGUUAGUGUUUUGACGUUACCGACAGAAUAAGCACCGGCUAACUUCGUGCCAGCAGCCGCGGUAAUACGAAGGGUGCAAGCGUUAAUCGGAAUUACUGGGCGUAAAGCGCGCGUAGGUGGUUCGUUAAGUUGGAUGUGAAAGCCCCGGGCUCAACCUGGGAACUGCAUCCAAAACUGCAUGACUAGAGUACGGUAGAGGGUAGUGGAAUUUCCUGUGUAGCGGUGAAAUGCGUAGAUAUAGGAAGGAACACCAGUGGCGAAGGCGACUACCUGGACUGAUACUGACACUGAGGUGCGAAAGCGUGGGGAGCAAACAGGAUUAGAAACCCUAGUAGUCC
rnacentral:rRNA from 1 species